AAUGAACUAAUGUAUAGAAAAGGGGUACCCACCCUACAUUUGAUUUGCUAUAAAAAAAAUUGAUACGCACCAAUAGUAUUUUGACACAUGUCAUAAAAAACAAAAAAAAAAACAAAAACAAAACAUAAUGAACAUGUAGAAAACGAAAAUGAAAAUAACCAGAGCCAAUAUACUUUCUCUCAUGUACUCUGAAAGCUCCACUUUUUCUUUUACCUAAAUUUAUCUUUUUUUUUUAAAACUAUAUAAAACAAGACUUAAAUGAAAACACUAAUUCUAUUAAUAAAACCAAGAAUAAAAAUAAAAUAAUAAUACUAAUACUAAUACUAAUAAUAAUAAUGAUAAUGAUAAUUAAUAAUAAUAAUAAUAAUAAUAAUAAUAAUAAUAAUAAAUAAAUAAAAGAUGAAUAAAAGAAAAUGAUUAUAGGAAGAUUUUUUUUUACAUGGUGGUUGAAGGUUGUUGUUGGAAGAGAUUGUAUGGUGUUUAAUACUGAGCUUUAUGUUAAUGGUGGUUAUACAUGGAAGAAAAGAAGUUUUCAUCUUCUUUUAUGUAAGUGAGAGAAAAAAUGAAGAUUAUGGAGUUUUUAUGGAAGAUGAGUGUUUGUAAUAUGGUGAAGAAAAUGUGGGUUAUUAUGGUGUAUGGUUGGUAGAUGUAAGUUUUUACAUGACGAGAUGUGAAGAGUAUGGGUUUGUUUUGAAAAAAAAAUUAUGGUGAAACAUGCGUGAAUAUGUGUUGAGAGGAUGUUGGUAAGAUGUAUUGUUGGUAGUGUGUAGAAAAGAUGAGAUGGAGUGUG
rnacentral:lncRNA from 1 species